rnacentral:rRNA from 1 species
GCAAAACGCGAAGAACCUUACCUGGUCUUGACAUCCCGUGGCAGCUGCAGAGAUGUAGUCUUCCCUUCGGGGACACGGAGACAGGUGCUGCAUGGCUGUCGUCAGCUCGUGUUGUGAAAUGUUCGGUUAAGUCCGGCAACGAGCGCAACCCUUGUCCUUAGUUACCAGCACGUCAUGGUGGGCACUCUAAGGAGACUGCCGGUGACAAACCGGAGGAAGGUGGGGAUGACGUCAAGUCAUCAUGGCCCUUACGGCCUGGGCUACACACGUGCUACAAUGGUCGAUACAGAGGGUUGCCAAGCCGCGAGGUGGAGCUAAUCUCACAAAACCGAUCGUAGUCCGGAUCGCAGUCUGCAACUCGACUGCGUGAAGUCGGAAUCGCUAGUAAUCGCGAAUCAGAAUGUCGCGGUGAAUACGUUCCCGGGUCUUGUACACACCG